CCUACGGGAGGCAGCAGUAGGGAAUCUUUCACAAUGGGCGAAAGCCUGAUGGAGCAACGCCGCGUGCAGGAUGAAGGCCUUAGGGUUGUAAACUGCUUUUAUAAGCGAGCAAUAUGAUGGUAACUUAUGAAUAAGGAUCGGCUAACUACGUGCCAGCAGCCGCGGUCAUACGUAGGAUCCGAGCAUUAUCCGGAGUGACUGGGUGUAAAGAGUUGCGUAGGUGGCAUAAUAAGUAGCUAGGGAAAUCUGGUGGCUCAACCAUUCAGACUAUUAGCUAAACUGUUAAGCUCGAGACCGUUAGGGGUAACUGGAAUUUCUAGUGUAGGAGUGAAAUCCGUAGAUAUUAGAAGGAACACCAAUAGCGUAGGCAGGUUGCUGGGACGGUUCUGACACUAAGGCACGAAAGCGUAGGGAGCAAACGGGAUUAGAUACCCUAGUAGUC
rnacentral:rRNA from 1 species